GUAUAGUUUGGACUGUGUACUGUAAAAAGUGAAAACCCUAAUGUAUCAUCACUCUUUUCAUUUUACUCCCCAACACAAGGAGAGUGAUUGGUUGAAAGAGAAUCGGGAGAGAGGGGAUCCGAACACACUUUGGCUGCCCCCUUAGCGAUGAUGGGUGGUGGUUUCUAUCCGGAUGGUGAUGAUGAAGAACGGUGGUGGUGGUGGUUCGAGCAACCGGUGAUUGGAAAAAAAAUUGGAGGUCGGAGUGGCGGUGGUUGCGGGUGGAGUUUGCGGCGGUGGUGUUUGAGCGUUGAGGGGGCGAACGGUGGUGGUCAAAGCUUGCUCUUGCUUCAGAAAAGGUUGGUGACUCACACGAAACGGCUCGACUGGAACACUAGGAUGAAUAUAAUAGCAGCUGGUGCAGAAAGAGGGUUAGAGUAUUUACAUGACAAUUGAACCCAUCGGUCGGGAUAUGAAGAGUCCAAAUAUUUUUCUAGGUGAGGAUUAUCAUGUAAAAAUAUCGGACUUUGGCUUGGCAAAAGUGGGCGCGCUUGGAGAAAAAACUCUUGUUUCGACCCGAGUGAUGGGCAUUUAUGGGUAUUGUUGCAAUUAAGGGACAACUCACUAAAGGUUUUUCUCUUUUUCUAUUUUAAUUUAGUUCUUUUUAGUUUCUUUUAAUGUUUUAGGUUAGCUGUUACCUUGGAAGGAAUUUGGGCUGGCUCACAACAAAGGCAUUGAAACUGGCCUCGACCUGUAACAUGGGUAUGAUAUAGGCGACACUUCUAUGAACAAGAGGUUUAAACUUAGUAUGUUUUGUUUACAAGAUCCUCUUUAUGACAUUGAUUACAUGCUUAUAUGUUUUUCAAAUAAAGUGCGAGUUGAUUGAACAAUUACAUGUAAUGUUUCAUGAUUAGUUAAUUUAAGGUUUUUAAAACUAUUUCUAUCCAAUCUGUACCCUUGGUAAAUAAAUAUACAAUGUCUACUAGGGGCAUGUGUAUAUUGUGUUUGAAGCUGUUUGGAAUAGAUGAAUGACACUGCUACAUCUUAUGUUGGAUUUCGAUGUUGUGUAGUGCCAGGCAACUUACUUGACAAUUCUGUCCUUUUUUCCAUGAUGUUAUUUAAGUUUUUUUUUUAUUUUAAGGUGAGCAAUAGAGCUCCAGAAUAUUGAUUAUCACAACAAAUACAUAACAAAUAGAUAAAGACUAAUCUUGAUUUUUUUGCUGACCCAUAAUGUCAUUCUUGUUGGUUGAGUAUUUUUGUAUGUUUUUAAUGUUUAUGCCGUGUUUACGAGUGUCUAAUGUACUGACUGAUGGUAUAUUUUAUUAGUUAUGAAUAUCUGGUCAUGUGUACUCUUUUGCGGUUGCCUUCUUAUCUCUGGUUGCUACUAUUAUUGCUAAUCAGUUUGUGCUUUUGCUUUCAAAGAAGGGAAGGGGGAAUGAUAGGGACGCCAAACACCUUUUGUACAAUUGCCAAGUAGGAAAAAGACCGCAACUACAGGCCGUAGUUCAGCAAACCACAUCGUCAAGGAAAGUAUCUUUUGCGCAACUUAUGUAACUAACAUGCAUGGUGUUAACAACCUAAGUUGAGACCAUAAUACAUAUACAAAUCUAGGCAUAAACUCUUGGUUGCAGCUCAUGUAUCUAACUUGAUGGAAAUAUAAAUCUAGCCCCCGUCGCAUCGCGGCGGGUUACUUUUCUAGUUAA